UGCGCGGCGAAAAACCUUACACACAGUGUUUUUUGUUAUUACAAGAACUUUUGCUUUGGUCUGGACUAGAAAUAGUUUGGGCCAGAGGUUUACUGAACUAAACUUCAAUAUUUAUAUUGAAUUGUUAUUUAUUUAAUUGUCAAUUUGUUGAUUAAAUUCAAAAAAUCUUCAAAACUUUCAACAACGGAUCUCUUGGUUCUCGCAUCGAUGAAGAACGCAGCGAAAUGCGAUAAGUAAUAUGAAUUGCAGAUUUUCGUGAAUCAUCGAAUCUUUGAACGCACAUUGCGCCCUCUGGUAUUCCAGAGGGCAUGCCUGUUUGAGCGUCAUUUCUCUCUCAAACCUUCGGGUUUGGUAUUGAGUGAUACUCUUAGUCGAACUAGGCGUUUGCUUGAAAUGUAUUGGCAUGAGUGGUACUGGAUAGUGCUAUAUGACUUUCAAUGUAUUAGGUUUAUCCAACUCGUUGAAUAGUUUAAUGGUAUAUUUCUCGGUAUUCUAGGCUCGGCCUUACAAUAUAACAAACAAGUUUGACCUCAAAUCAGGUAGGAUUACCCGCUGAACUUAAGCAUAUCAA
rnacentral:rRNA from 2 species